CCAUUACCCUCGAUUAGGCUAGCCUGGCUGGCCAGCUUCCCCAGGGAUCUUCCUGUCCCCACCCAUCUCAGCGUCUUCAGUGUUGGGAUUACAUAUGUGCCACCCUGCCCAGGCAGUUAGUUACCCAUGGGAUCUGGAAACCAAGCCCAAGUCUUCAUGUUUGCAAGAGAUGGAUAGAAUGCCUUCUCCACCUGCACACGUGAGGCCCACGGAGAAACAGAAGCUGGCUAAGCAAUUCCUGAGGACUUUCUAUGCACGUUGAUUACAAUCCAGAUGACGCACGUGAGAAAAUAACAGUACCAAGAGAUUGCUGUGUCCAUCAGUCUCCUGUCCACGGGAAGCCAGAGCUUCACAGCUUCAUUGGAAAGCUGCGCCAAGUGCGAUAGUUACAUUGAUUUUAUUAUUAGAUUUUCUAUAUAAAGCUAUAUAUUUUAUGUAAAAUUAUAAAGUACAAUGAGAAAAAAAAAUCAGCUGAAGCUCUAGUCCUGACUCUAAGAAGAAGAAGAAGUCAAAUAGAACAGGACAGAAGGUAGGGAAGGCGGAGACUGGGGAAGGCGUGUCACUAGGAUGCCAAAGUCUCGCCAGCACAGGCAUCUCACUCUAAGCUGUAGCACAGGACUGUGGUGGGUGCCAGGGGCUGGGGGUCGGUGGUGUCCUGCUCGCUAGCAGUGGACACCACGGACACUUGAGACCAGAUAUAAACUUGACUCUUUUUUUUAAAAUUAAUUUAUUUAUUAUAUGUAAGUACUGUCUUCAGACACACCAUAAGAGGGCAUCAGAUCUCAUUACAGAUGGUUGUGAGCUACCAUGUGGUUGCUUCAGUUUGAACUCAGGAUCUCCAGAAGAGCAGUCAGUGCGCUUAACCACUGAGCCAUCUCUCCAGCCCUUUUGUUCAUAGUAUUAAUGGCAUUAGUGGUUCCUGUGGACGAGCUAAAACUAUGUGACCAGUGACACACCCUUAAUCACCACAUCCCUUUUUUUUUUUUUUUUUUUGGUAGUAGCUGAUAUUACUAUCUUCUGGUUACAGUAAAAAAUGCAAAGCUCAGAAAACAGUUCAGCGUGAGAGCUGGGUACAGUCUCACACAACUGUAGUUCCAGAAUUCUGGAGGCAGAGGCCCCAGGUUUGCAGCUAGUCAUUUCUGCAUAGAGAGUUCCAAGCCAGCCAGGGCUACACAGAGAAUCUUGUCUAAACCUAAACAAAACUUUGGCCAGAUCACCCUGCUUGAAAGUGAUGGAGCUAAACUGUUACCCUCCCCUCUAUACUGCUCGACUCUGCCUAGGACACGGUCCUGAAACUCAGGUGCAGAGGUGGUGGAAACCCAGUCCACACCGCUUACUCUAGACAUGACAUGUGGGGUUCAGAGAAGAGAGGUGUCUACAAUGUGAAGCUCAUUUUGACAUGGAAUUCUGGUAUUCUGAGCCUUCCUAGCAUGCUGCCAGAUGCUAUUGAACUGUAGUUAAACCUGCUUCAGAGUCACUGUUAUAAGUUAAACUUUUAUCUCCCCCGUAUUCACAUGUGAGGAUCCUAACCCCCAAGUGCCUCAGAUUGUGGGCAUGUUUGCAGACAGGGCCUUUAUAGAUGGCAAUCAAGUUAAAAUGAAGGAGACAUUAGGGUAGGCAUUAACCUUAUGCGAUUGACAUCUUUAUAUAAAAAGAUAUGCACAGGGGAAAGACAGACUCUGGCUGCAAACAGCUGUCUAUAAGCCAAGAAGAGAAGCCUAGAACUUAUCUCUUCCUCACAGUCCUCAGAAGGAAACUAUUCUGUGAAAACUUUGAUUUGGGGCUUCUAUCCUCAGACUUGUGGGUGAACCACUCGGUUAGUGAUUCAUUCUUCUGACAUUCCUGGGGAAUGAGGACCUUCAUGAAUCCAGAAAGCCCACAAGUCGCACACGGGAUCAUGGAUACUUGGUGACUUUGUGUUAACAGAAGUUCUAGUUGGAAUCAGAGGCAAAAAGAGAACGGAUGAGCUUUCCAGCUCCCUCCCAGUGUUGUUCUGUGGCUAAGAGAGUUUUCUUCCAUUGGACUUUGGCCAACAUAUUUAACUUGGGCUUUGAAUCCUCUUUGAAAAUUUUUAUAGACAUAUGUGCCGUGUACUUAUGUCUUAUGUGUGUAUAGUGUGUGUGUGUGAUCAUGCUCAGGAACUGUCUACCUACUUUGAGAUAGUUGAGAUAGCAUCUCUCAUUAUAUUGUAAUUGACCAACUAGGCUAGACUUCCUAGCCAGCAAGUCCCAGGAAUCCUCCUGUCUCUGUUGCUCAUUAUAAGCAUGUACUACCAUGCCCAGCAUUUUUACACACAUCUGGAGGUUGAAUUCAGGUAUUCGUGCUUUCAAGGUUUUACCAAUGAGCCAUGCCCCCACCUCUUUGAACCUAUUUUACAUCUGAGCCUCAGCUAGAGAAGGUCCUAAAUAAACAUGUAUUGAGCAAAUGGGUGGGAAAAGAGGCUGAUGGCUACUCUUACUCAGGCUUCUGCAGCCAGGGAGUAGGCAGGGGCAUAGGGAUGUGACUGUCAGUAAGUGAAGGAUAAAGUUAGUCACUGUGUCCUAAAGCCAAGCUGAGUCCUGAUUCUAGAAGACACAGUGAAAUAUAUUUUAGAUGAGUCAAGGUAGGCUAAAAACAUUUUGUAACAGGAAGCAAUUUUUCCUUUGCUUUAUUAAUUUUGUUCCCAAGGAUAAAUGAGAUACAGACUUCUAUAUCCAAACCUUCAUUAGGUGCCCAGUUAAUGCAACCAUGACAAAUGGGAAUGAAGCCCUUAUGAAUAAAAAGAUGAUCAACACCAGCCUAAAAAAAAUUACAGACCAGAGAAAAGACAGCUUAGAGGAGCUGAUAAAAUACCCUGGCCUUAAUUAGACUGUCUGCAUCGCACAUCAAAUCAGAUUUAAUGUUAAGAUUUAUUGGUUUAGAAUUGGGUAAGUGAAAUGAAUUCUUGAAAAUAAAUGGAAAAGAAAUUA